rfam:Picea glauca, whole genome shotgun sequence.
ACAUGCCUACAACAUAACAUCAAUGCACAGGAUCCCAUUAGAACUCCACAGUUAAGCACGCUCGAGCUAGAGUAGUACUGGGACGGGUGAUCGCCCGAGAAGUCCUAGUAUUUUACAUUCC